GGUUGGCUCAGUGGUAGAGUGCUUGCCUUGCAUGCAUGAGGCCCUGGGUUCGAUUCCUCAGCACCA
rfam:Dipodomys ordii contig_19188, whole genome shotgun sequence.